UACGGGGGGAGCAAGCGUUGUUCAGAUUUACUGGGCGUAAAGGGCGCGUAGGCGGCACCGCAAGUCGACUGUGAAAUCUCCGGGCUUAACCCGGAAAGGUCAGCCGAUACUGCGGGGCUAGAGUGCAGAAGGGGCAACUGGGAAUUCUCGGUGUAGCGGUGAAAUGCGUAGAUAUCGAGAGGAACACCUGCGGCGAAGGCGGGUUGCUGGGCUGACACUGACGCUGAUGCGCGAAAGCUAGGGGAGCGAA
rnacentral:rRNA from 1 species